UUUAAUGAGCAAUCACCCUCAGUUAUUGUUUUAUUUUUUGCAGGAGGGAGAUGGAUGGGAUGCUGAGUGUGUGUGACAUGACAGUUAGAAGGCCAGGUGGGGGGUGGGGAGGGACCCCACUGGGCUGUGCUUUCCUGCCACAGUGACGUUUUCAAGUCACCAAUAUACCUUCCAUUUCCAUUGGUGCAGAUCUUAGUGAGAAAUGCACCUGCCCUUGGAGCCAUCCCUGAGUGUUGUCUGGAGGAAUGGCAGCUCAGGGUCUCCAGUCCUUCACUGCCCACCCCAAGGUCUGGAGCUCCGAGUGGGACCCACAUGAAUCAGGUCAGGGAACAGCAGGGAAGGUCAGGGCAGCAACGAGGAUGUCCCCAACUCUGCCCACCCAUGCCCAAGGCUGCAGUUCCCACUGGGGUCCCAGCCCUGGCCAAGGGUGCAGCCAGGCUGAGUGCACCAUGAGGUGUGAGGCUGAUGGUGGCACAGGGUGGUCAGAACAGCCCACAGGCUUCACCGGGACUCAGCCCCCCAGGCCCUCACUGGCGGUUUAUGUCCACAAAUCCCAAUCAGCACAGUCGCUCCCUCACAUCCUGCUGCCCAGACAAUGGGACGACACGAAGGCUUCUUUUUGGUUACAUUGUUUUACUUAAAAUAAUUGUGUUUUGAGGCAUUCCUUUACCCUAUAUUUGAGCAGAAAUGAUAUUAUAAGCAAAGUGCCAUCUGCUCAGAGCCUUUAAAAGUAGGCUGUGAAUCUAACGGCAUAUGUGACAAGCAAACAUUUAAACUGCUCCGUUUAGAACCGUCACUGUAUACGCACUGGCAACUUUAAUAUUUUCCUCUUCAAACUUCAUUAAUCUGGAAAGGAGUGGAGGCACAGGGUGGGUAGCUUUUCCCCCCCUCAGCAAGGGCGUGACUCCUGUGGCACCUGAGCCCCCUCCUGCCUGGCCCCAAGUCCCCAUCACAACUCACGGCUGAGCUGACCCCAGCCUUGGACACAGGCAGGGGUCUUUAUACUCUUGGCAGAAAAAUCAUUGUCUCAAUUUUUUUUGGCAGAAAAAAUAUGAUUAUUUAAAUAAUUUAAUGCAUUUGUACUAUUGAAAAUUUAUUUUUUGAAUCUAAUGCAUAACUUUAAUCUCUUAUAAAAUCAAUCAAAGAGAAUAAUGAGGCUGUCUUGGUGGUGCCAAAGUUUAGGUCUGAGAAUUUAGGAUCCAGCUUUAUUAUUAUGUUAGCUUUGGGAUCCAAUCAAGUCCCAAAGAUAGCUGUGUAAGAAUAUGCAAAUAAUGGUCAUAUUUACGAGAUGACUCGAAAUUAGGGAAACUCUUUCUUUACUUAGGCAAGGAGGAGAAGCCGCCUCUGGAGUCCCUGCAAGAGCAAUGGCACGGCCGGGCGCGGCGGCUCACACCUGUAAUCCCCGCACUUUGGGAGGCUGAGGUGGGUGGAUCACCUGAGGUCAGGAGCUCGAGACCAGCCUGGCCAACAUGGUGAAACCCCAUCUCUACUAAAAAUCAAAAAUCAGCCAGGUGUGGUGGCACGCACCCGAAUUCCAGCUACUAGUGAGGCUGAGGCAGGGGAAUCGCUUGAACCCAGGAGGUGGAGCUUGCAGUGAACCAAGAUCAUGCCACUGCACUCCAGCCUGGGUGACAGAGCAAGACUCGUCAAAAAAAAAA
rnacentral:lncRNA from 1 species